UACGAAGGGUGCAAGCGUUACUCGGAAUUACUGGGCGUAAAGCGUGCGUAGGUGGUUUGUUAAGUCUGUUGUGAAAGCCCCGGGCUCAACCUGGGAAUGGCAAUGGAUACUGGCAAGCUAGAGUGCGGUAGAGGGUAGUGGAAUUCCCGGUGUAGCGGUGAAAUGCGUAGAGAUCGGGAGGAACACCUGUGGCGAAGGCGGCCCCCUGGUUGGAUACUGACGCUGAGACGCGAAAGCGUGGGAGGCAAC
rnacentral:rRNA from 1 species